rnacentral:rRNA from 1 species
AACAAACGCUGGCGGCGUGCCUAAUACAUGCAAGUCGAACGAGGUAGCAAUACCUAGUGGCGCACGGGUGAGUAACGCGUGGAUAAUCUGCCUUUGAGUGGGGGAUAACUAGUCGAAAGAUUAGCUAAUACCGCAUAAGACCACAGGGACUGAGGUUCCAGGGGUUAAAGGUUUUUCGCUCAUAGAUGAGUCCGCGUGAGAUUAGCUAGUUGGUGAGGUAACGGCUCACCAAGGCGACGAUCUCUAACUGGUCUGAGAGGAUGAUCAGUCACACUGGAACUGAGACACGGUCCAGACUCCUACGGGAGGCAGCAGUAGGGAAUAUUGCACAAUGGAGGAAACUCUGAUGCAGCGACGCCGCGUGAGUGAUGAAGGCUUUCGGGUCGUAAAGCUCUGUCGCAGGGGAAUAACACAAUGAAUGUACCCUGUAAGAAAGGAUCGGCUAACUUCGUGCCAGCCGCCGCAGUAA